GCCGGAGUACCCUAGCGGACAAUGGGAAUUGCCUUGUAAGCAAUCGCGAAAGCUUCGUGAGUUCGAAUCUCACCUCCGGCUUA
rnacentral:tRNA from 1 species